rnacentral:miRNA from 1 species
CUUGGAGUGAAGGGAGCUCUC